rnacentral:lncRNA from 10 species
CCUGCCACAGCUUCGGGACGACUGGAUCGCCGCGCCUGGGCCGGAGCGAGCCAUCUGCGGGCACUAUGCAAAGCGGGAGACGGCGCGAGCGGCGCCCGGCUCACACUAGCUCUUCCAGGACGCAGGACAGAAGAGCUCCUUGGCACUGGAUGCCUCCGGGUCUGGUUGAGAGAGGAAUGGUUAGGAGACUGUUCUGAGGAUACGCAGACAUCAUCCAAAGCUUCCUACAUUCAGAUGAGGACAGAGGUUGGGCCAGAGCUUUGUAAGCUUGUUACCUAAGGAUGGUUCUGACCAUGUAAGCAGAUCACAGAAGCUGGAGGCAAAGGAUGCCAAGAUGGGAAAGCCACAUAAUGGAAGGAUCCUGGAUUUCAGAGCUGUCACUUGGAGGAGGGGCACCCAGUGAAGGUGUCUUAUCUAACCCACACCAUAUCUUCAUGAAGUGGCCAUAUGGAUUUGAUCCCUAUCCUUCAGAGGUGCUCAGCCUAAGGGAACACGGAUAGUAGAUUAAGCACUGACCAGAGCCAGCCUUGACAAUGUGCUGAUGGCAACCUAGAACAUAAGCAGAGGAGUAUACAGGACAAGAACUUGAUGGUCUCGGGAAAAUGGACAACAUGACUCAGGUGAAAAAGAUUGAUCAUCAGAUGUUUCUUAUGUAUCAACCUGAUAUUUAAAUCCAUGAAGGACAGAGACGACAAAGGCAGGUGGAAUAGAUAGAGAAGAGAUUCAAGGUCUGAGCUCUACAUUACUCAAACUGUUAGAGAUUAGGAAGAAGAGGAAGACCUGGCAAAAGAAUGUCCUGGGAUGUAGAAAGAAAACCAGAAGCUUGUGUUCUCUGGAAACCAAAUGAAGAAAGGGCUUCCAGAAGGACAGACAAAGUGUAGUGUGUCAAAGGCUCCUGAGCAAUCAGAGGAGAGCACAAAGGGGCUCACAGGACUUUGGUAUCUGGAUCACCCAGUGACACUUCCUGAUCACGAGAAACUGUCAGACCAACAGGGGCACUUUCUGAAACCAGCAGUUCUUCAGUGCCCAAAUGCAACCUUGAUGGUUUGAUUUUGGAGGAUGGCAAUUCAUUAACAGCACUCCCCAGUGAUAAAUAUGAAAACCAAUAAAACCCCCCACCCAAGGCAAUCUCUCCCAGCUCCUCGCUUUGAGUAAAGUGAGUAACCUCCAUUUCUGCCAACUCCUGUCUUGUCUGAAGCCACAUUUCCCCAGCAAUGUCACAUAUGCAUUUCUUGAUCCUGGUCAUUUCUCCUCUUGGGAGAUGAAUCAUAAAGAAAAUGAGAUCUGUGUGCCCUGGUGACUAUGGAUGCAAGAGUCUGCUGCCCUGGAGGGAACAGCUGGAAAAGUAGAUGGUGAAGACGUGUGGGGGGGAAACAGUGGAGAAGGCAUCUUUGCAGGGGAUCAAGGUGACAGAGUGAUUAGUUACACUGUUUUGACAUGUGAGAACAGGGGGUUAUAAAAAUGGAUACAGGAAGAGGGAGAGAAAGUAAGGACCAAAACAUGAAGCCAGUCAUGAAUGUUUUUACAUAAAAAGCAGCAGAUUUACGGCAAAUAUGUGAUGUUUCCACAUUUUCUGCCUCUAGUUAGCAGGGGCAGCACAAAGAGCAUUACUGUGGAGCUGAACUUUGGGUAAAAGAUUAACAGCCAGUCCUUUCUCUCCAGUGUCUGCUUCCUUCUGGGCUUGCCCUGGGGGAAAAGGAGGGCUGGCAUGGAUAUGCCUGCAGCCCUCACCCUAGAUGUUCUUCCACGCCUCUCUGUUCAUUCAUUGCUUAGUCAUUCCUCAGGCAUGGAUUGAGACCACUGUGUGCCCAGGACCGACCUGGCCUAGGAUGGACAUAGAGAUGGAAAAGGCACAGGGAGCAGGUGACAGAGACAAAUCAAGGUCAUGGAGAAUAGCAGAGUAAGAUAGAAGAUGAAGGCAGGAGAUGGGGUUCUUGAGAAAGCGAGAGCAGGACUGACCCGUGUCUGCCUCACCUGUUAUUGCUGUAGCCUCUUCUCCUUGGAGUAUCCCUCCUGCUCUUGCAUCACCUUAGGAACUUGGAUCAGAGAGGAAAGUUACGGCCUGGAUAUGUUGUAGUAGGAGGGGACAAACAUGUUUGGAGACAGAAAUGCUUGGGGAGCGGGUGUUUUUGGGGGAUGAGACUUUCCAGGUCUCUCAAUUCACACUAUGUAGGUAGUUCACUGCACAGCUUAAAUAAGAGACAACUCUCCGGAGUGGUUGGCUCUCAUCCAAAAAAUGUGUUUUGGGCCUCAGAUUUCCAACGGAAGGGCUGAAGCGUGACUGGCCUGAUGUCAACUACUGAAGUCCACCUGCCCCUGCCCUAUCAGGUGUGGAAAUGCUGGGGUUCCUCUCUCAGAACCUACUUCCUGAGAUGUCGAAAUAUACCCAAGAGUAUUUCUGGGCCUUCUCCAAUCCGAAACUGUUUAGUUUUUGUGUGUGUGUGCCUACUUGGCCACACUAGAAGACAGAGGUGGCCUGGGUGAAAUGCAGGUUUCUAGAGGCUCUCUGACAAAGCUCAGGCCACCAGCCCCAGGCCAGCCUGUGGGUAGUCCUGGCUGACAGUCACUUCAUACCUCACCUGGGCUUUUUGCCAAAUUCAAAGUGUGUGUAUAUGUGGAGUGCUGGGUUCCCACCACUGACAGUCUGUAAGUCAUUCACUUAGCUCAAUUUGUCUUACUUUCUUCUGAAAUUUCUUCCUUCUUGUUCUUUUUCCCAGGAGAAACCAGGAGAAGGCAGUCCUAGGGCAGUCUCCGGGCCAGCUUUCCCUAAUAAGAAGGCAGAGCUCCUCUUCACCCAGACUUCAGACCUAUAGAGGCAGCCUGGGGUCCCGGGAUGCCCUUGCACUCAGAGAUGUCCCCAGAGUCCUAGGGAAAUGGAGGAUAACUAGGAGGAAGCUGUUCAUGGCUGGCGAUGAGGUCUAUACCUUCUUGUCCGUCUCAGUGCUGUCUGCUAUUGAAUUUUUGUGCAGAUCACAUUAACUUAAAGCCAGUUCUCAAGAAGCUCCCCCUGCCGCCGGCAUAUCCACCAGUUGCUCCCCUUUCCUGCCAUUAAUCAGGGUCUGCUAGUUAGAGAACAAAUUCCUAUUUGUCCAAACAGUUGCCAACACCCCCACCCCAAGGUAGUUAAAUGAGGAUGAAUGGGUCAUUCUUAUUAAAAAAUGACUUAAAUUUCUCAAAUUCUAUUUAUGUUUCUUUUACAUCCCAAUUUUCUAUAGAUUUAGUGACUCCAAAUGAUAAGGUCUCAAGCUCAUAAUAAUUUAUCCCUUGGGUAACACACAAGGCUUGGUGGUAUUUCAGUAAUAUUCAUGACAACAGCAGCUGUCGUGCUAAUAAGGACUGAUGUCACCAGAGCACUUUCUAUGUGCCAAGCAUGGUGCACAACACUUUACAUACAUUAUGUCAUUUAAUUUUCACAAAACCUCACAGAGGUAAAUAUUAUUAUCUUCCUCUGCAUAUAAGGAAAUGAAUGUUCGGAAAGAUUAAGUCAACUCACUGAGGUCCCAUCAGUGCUCUUUCAUAUGCCUCUGUUGCAGUCUCAUUGAACUGCUGAAAUCAGAAAAACCUGGAGACCUUGUUAACCUUCAGAUUCCUGGGCCCCAUCUUAGAUGCAGGGAGUCAGACUUCCUGGGAGUGUGGCCCUGGAAUUUUCAUUUGUAAACACAUUCCCCAAGAGACCUGUAUGCACACUAAAGUGGGAGAAUUCACGAUCUCUGGCUUUUGUGAUGUUUUAAACGCACUAUAUAAUUUCAGUAGCAAAAGAAUUGGGCUUUGGGAAGGGAGUGUGUGGUGAACCCUGAAAGCUGAAUGGACUUCCUUCCUGUGGAGGAGCAGUGGGAGAAACUGGAGGCAGAGAGCUGUGUUUCAUUCCUUGAUUGAGCCUUUGUGAGUUAUUUAAUCUCUUUCAGUCUCUAUUUUUUUCAUUUGUAAACCAGGAAGGAUACUUGUAUUUUCCAGGUGGUUGUGAGGUGUGAAAGAGAUGAGAGUAGAACAAAAUUUUAAAAGUUGAAAGCACUCAACAAAUGUAUUUGGUAUUAAUCAUGGGUUUCCCUGGGGCCGAGGAAGCCACCAGCCACCGCAGGCCUGUACACAAUGCCAGCCACCAUGUAUGGAUACGGAGGAGGCAAAAGGACUAGCGAACACUCCCAGGGACUGGAUGUCUUGAAUAUCUGUCCAACUUUCUUGGGAGGGGCCAUUUCUUCUGUAACUCAAAGGAAUUUAUUAUUUUUCAGCCAGGGAGGCAUGCUUUCUAUCUACUGCUAGUACUCCCAGACCAAGCUGUUUCAGUGGGACUGAGGUGUGACUUCUGCCUCGGUUUCAUCCAUCUGUGCAGGGAAGAGAAAAAUGCCUGCACCUCCACGGUCACACCCUCUGUUGGAACCACCUCCUUAAGCCAGAAUUAUUGAAUGUUCUCUAUGUGCCAGAAUUAUUAUUAUCUCAUUUGAUUCUCACAACAAUGCCAUGAAGUCUAUACAGACAUACCUUGGAAAUACAGCGGGUUUGGUUCCAGACCACCGCAAUAAAGCUAAUACCGCAAUAAAAUGGGUCACACGAAUUUUUUGGAUUAGGCUUCGGCUUAAGGGAAUGUUGUGGCUGGUUUGAUGUUUUAUCCAGACCGCUAACACUUUCUCCCUAUCAGCAAUGAGGCUGUUUUGCUUUCUUAUCAUUCCUGUGUUCACUGGAGUAGCACUUUUAAUUUCCUUCAAGAACUUUUCCUUUGCAUUCAUAACUUGGCUAACUGUUUGGCACAAGAGGCCUGCCUAGCUUUUGGCCUAUCUAAGCUUUUGACUUGCCUUCCUCACUGAGCUUAAUCAUCUCUAGCCUUGGAUUUAACGUGGAAAAUGUGUGACCCUUCCUUUCACUUGAACACUUGGAAGCUAUUGUAGGGUUAUUAACUGGCCUAAUUCAAUAUUAUUGUGUCUCAGGGAACAGGGAGGCCCAGAGAGAGAGAGACGGGAAAACAGAAAGUCAGUGGGGCAGGCAGAACACACACGUUUAUUUAUUAAGUUUGCUGUCAUAUGUUGGUGCAGUUCAUGCUGCCCCAAAACAAUUACAAUAACAAGAUCAAAGAUUCCUGGUCAUAGAUUGCCAUAACAGAUACAGUAAUCACGAAAAAGUUUGAGAUAUUGUGAGAAUUACGCAGAUAUUGUGAGAAAUAUGACCCAGAGACAAGAAGCGAGCACAUGCCGUUAGAAAAAUGGCACCAACAGACUUGCUUGCUGCAGGGUUACACAUACCUUCAAUUUGUAAAAAAAAAAAACUGUAAUAUCUGCAAAACGCAAUAAAGAAAAGUGUAAUAAAAUGCAGUCUGCCUGAACUUCAAUUAUUCCCAUUUUAUAGAAGAGGAAAUAGAUGCAGGGAGUUUGAUCUGCCUGAACUAGUAAAUGGUAGAACUCUGGGACUAACAUUCCUAUCCUCUAUGCUACAUUCCUAGGAAAGAACGCUCAGACAGGGUUGGACUGAGAGUGUGUUAAGCUUUGCACUGUUUUGAGCCCUCUGAAGGAGUGUCCGUAUUUGAAAGCUGGCCUCCUUCCUUUCACUGGCCCUCCACAGUGUGGCCUAAGUUAUUCAAUUAGGAAGGGAAAUAAUUGGCAGUGGAGAAUGCCUCUAGCAGUGGUAAUUACCUCCAGUGCCUUGUAGGAAUAGUCAAGCUACAUUUCAGUUUAUGCUGUAAAACCUUAAUUAUAAUAUAAACAGCUGCCCUUCAGCCCAGUGGGGCAGCCUUCCCCCGCCUUCCUUCUCUGGCCUCUGAAUGGCCCUGCCUCCUGAAUGGUCAGGGAGGUCCAGGGACGGAAGGAGACCUGGGAGGAGGGGAGCCGAUGACUAUGCGUGCGUUGGGGUUUGGAAGACUAAGCUGGAGGGAGCCACUGCCAGGGUCCCAUCUUCAAGUGAUGAAGCCAAAGGCAGCAUCCCCAUUCUUGGUACCACUCACACUGAGUCUCUUGGGGGAGCAGCCUCCAGCCAUUAGCAGUCAGCCCAGUGCCAUUAGGCUAGGAUAGGGUUUAGCAGGCUAUGGUAUCAUUUCAGGGUAACAUCUCUUUCUAUUUACUCCCCUAUAAGGGAGAACAGAGUCUUCCCUUCUAGAUCCAGACUUCCUGGCCAUGUAGGAGCCCUGUUGAGUGCCUGGUGCACUCUAGGUAGUAUGCGAGGCAUGGUUGCAAGGGUUCCCCAUUUCAACUUCACAGCACUUGGAUACACAGAAAAUUAACAUCCUCAUUUGACUAUUGAGGAAAAUGAGACUUUGAAAGUUUAAACGGAGAUAAGGCUUGGGAGGCAGACAGCCCUGUAAGUGACUUAAGUUCAGGAAGGAGAAGGACACUCAAUAUUUUUGUUCAGAGCACUGGGAAGGAGAGAGAGGGAUCAGUCACCAUCGGGCAUUUGAGAAGGUCCAGGAACAGGGGGCUGGUGAGCAGAGGGGGGAAUAACACCAGAGGGGCUGAAAUUGCUGAUUGCUGGGUUCACAGAUCUACCCACGAGCGGCCCAGGUACCCCAUGAGCGGCUGCUCUGUGUCAUCUGACCACUGGAUUGUAACCUGGGCUGAAAGAAUCAGAAGUCAGUGUGGCGAGGCAGGAGUCCUCAGAUGGUCAGAGCUGACUCUUCAACUCUUAAGGGCAAAAUGGAAAAUGUGAGCUUGUUGGUGGUCUUCGAAACACAGUAAGCAAUCCAUGCCCCUGAAGAGCAGGGAUAAUUAUAGGCAUGCCCUUGUUUUAUUGUGCUUUGCAGAUAUUGCAUGUUUUUACAAAUUGAAGAUUUAUGGCAACUCUGCAUACAGCAAAUCUAUUGAUGCCAUCUUUUUCCAAUAUCACAUGCUCACUCUGUGUCUCUGUCUCACAUUUUGGUAGUUCUCCCAAUAUUUCACACCUUAUUAUUAUUAUUAUAUCUGUUAUGAUGAUCUGUGGUCAGGGAUCUUUGAGGUUACUAUUGUAGUUGUUUUGAGGUGCCAUGAACUGCACCCAUGUAAGACAGCGAACAUAAUCAAUAAAUGUUGUGUGUUCUGACUGCUCCACCAACCGACUGUUUCCCUGUCUCUUUCUCUCUCCUCUGGCUCCCUAUUCCCUGAGGCACAAUCAUAUUGAAAUUAGGCCAAAUAAUAACCCUACAAUGGCUUCUAAAGGUUCAAGUAAAAGGAAGAGUCACAUCUCUUACUCUAAAUCAAAAGCUAGAAAUGAUUAAGCUUAGUGAGGAAGGCAUGUGGAAAGCUGAGA